AUACGUAGGGAGCGAGCGUUGUCCGGAAUUACUGGGCGUAAAGGGCGUGUAGGCGGAGAUCUAAGCAGGGUGUGAAAACUAUGGGCUCAACCCGUAGCCUGCAUUCUGAACUGGAUCCCUUGAGGGCAGGAGAGGAAAGUGGAAUUCCUAGUGUAGCGGUGAAAUGCGUAGAUAUUAGGAGGAACACCAGUGGCGAAGGCGACUUUCUGGACCGUCCCUGACGCCCAGCCCCGCAAGCUUGGGGAGCAAACGGGUCAUGUUCCCCUGGCAAUCCACGAUGUAAACGAUGAAUACUAGGUGUAGGGGGUAUCGCCCCCUCCUGUUCCGUAGGUAACACAAUAAGUAUUCCGCCUGGGGAGUACGGCCGCAAGGUUGACACCCAAAUGAAUUGACGGGG
rnacentral:rRNA from 1 species